UUUCAGCAGUGAGGAAGGGUGUGAAGUUAAUAACUUCAUACUUUGACGUUAGCUGCAGAAGAAGCACCGGCUAACUCCGUGCCAGCAGCCGCGGUAAUACGGAGGGUGCGAGCGUUAAUCGGAAUUACUGGGCGUAAAGCGCAUGCAGGUGGUUUGUUAAGUCAGAUGUGAAAGCCCGGGGCUCAACCUCGGAACCGCAUUUGAAACUGGCAGGCUAGAGUACUGUAGAGGGGGGUAGAAUUUCAGGUGUAGCGGUGAAAUGCGUAGAGAUCUGAAGGAAUACCAGUGGCGAAGGCGGCCCCCUGGACAGAUACUGACACUCAGAUGCGAAAGCGUGGGGAGCAAACAGGAUUAGAUACCCUGGUAGUCCACGCCGUAAACGAUGUCUACUUGGAGGUUGUG
rnacentral:rRNA from 1 species